rnacentral:ncRNA from 2 species
UUAGAUGGGGACACUCGAGGUGUCGCCCUGAACGGGGCGGAGAAUUGGGAAGCCGGUCAAAUCCCGGCGCUGCCCCCGCAACGGUGGUGGAGUGAAGCCACGGCGAAAGGCCACUGGACGUGAAUGUCCGGGAAGGCGCCGGGCGGGUCCUUGGCGGGACUGCUCCAGAGCCCGGAAACCAGCCUUGAGCACAUCGACCGU